rnacentral:misc_RNA from 1 species
GAUGAAGAACGUAGCGAAAUGCGAUAAGUAAUGUGAAUUGCAGAAUUCAGUGAAUCAUCGAAUCUUUGAACGCACAUUGCGCCCGCCAGCACUCUGGCGGGCAUGCCUGUUCGAGCGUCAUUUCAACCAUCAAGCCCCCAGGGGCUUGUGCUGGGGCCCUGCGGCUGCCCGCAGGCCCUGAAAACCAGUGGCGGGCUCGCUAGUCACACCGAGCGCAGUAGCACAUCUCACUCAGGGCGUGCGGCGGGCUCCUGCCGUGAAACCCCCCACUGUAACCCCAAAGGUUGACCUCGGAUCAGGUAGGAAUACCCGCUGAACUUAAGCAUAUCAAUAAGCGGAGGA